rnacentral:misc_RNA from 1 species
AUGACAGUCGACAGCCUUUGCCGCGUUCGCGCAUGUAUACACAGCAGCAGUAGCAGUCAAUAACAUCUCUACUACAACACGCACGGAGGAGCCUCUCGCUCGCACACAUGCUAAUCGCAAAAUUGGAUGCUCCGCUUUGCUGCUGCUGACUGCUGCUCUGUGCUCGUCGAUUUUAUCUCGCGUCGUCGUAGUCGUAUGUACCACUGCGGCACACAAAUGUCUGCGUGACAUUGAUAAGAUCCUAGUCACUCGGAAAUUGAUAGUGCUCGCGCGAAUCAUUGUCUCUUUCGUGUCGCUCUAUAUAUAUAUCUCGAGUAUAUACACGCAGGCCGCCAAAAGCUUGAUAUAUAAUACGAGAUCAUGUUGUACCAGUAUUUCUGACAGACCCGACGACGAUAUCUCGCGUAUACACGGCUGCAGCACCGCUGCCGCUGUCUUCUGCAAGUCUUCCGUCGUGAGCCCGUCUUUGAGUCAUCGAUAUCGUAGGACUGCGCGCUGAUAAAGUAGUGUCGGAGGCAAAAUGUGUGGAGGCUUUACGUGCUCUAAAAAUGCCCUCACGGCCCUAAACGUAUUGUACAUUGUUGUUGCUAUCAUAUUGAUCAGCGUUGCAGUUUAUGGAGAAGCGUCGUCUCUGGUUGCCAAUUUGCCCAUCAUCGAGGGCAUUCUGGCAUGCGGAGUGAUACUCAUUCUGAUCUCCAUCCUUGGCUUGAUCGGAGCUGUCAAGCAUCAUCAAGUCCUGCUAUUUUUCUACAUGCUCAUUUUGUUCCUGUUGUUCCUGGUUCAAUUCAGCAUUGCCUGCGCUUGUCUGGCUGUGAAUGCCAAGCAACAAGAACAACUCGCUGAACACGGUUGGAAUCAAGUUGAUGAAAACUUGAGAGAACAAGUUCAGAAUACUUUCCAUUGCUGUGGCUUCAAUAAAACAACCACUACAGAUCAUUUCUCAGAGCUUGUAUCAACAACUCUUAAACCUAAUGAAUUAACGUGUGAAGAAAGACAAACUGCAAUAUGUUGCGCUGGAAGUCUUGAUCAAAAUUGCAAAUGCCCAGCUUGUAUGGAAAAGUUACAAUCAACCAUUGAUUACGCAUUUAAACUUUGUGGAGGCAUAGGAUUAUUCUUCAGUUUUACUGAGUUCGUCGGUGUGUGGCUAACAGUGCGCUACAGGAAUCAAAAAGAUCCGCGAGCUAAUCCUAGUGCUUUUCUCUAGUCUAACAACAUCGCCAUGUCCCCUGUCUCUCUAUACGACCAUCAUAACAGAUGGUGAUUGCAGCAUUUUUGGCUAGAAGAUACAGAAAUCAGUUAGAUCCUGAAGAAGCAGCUGCUCGAGCUAUGUUCCCAAGAUCAAAUAACUA